rnacentral:rRNA from 1 species
GACGAACGCUGGCGGCGUGCUUAACACAUGCAAGUCGAACGGUGAAGCGCCUUCCUUUUUGGUGGGUGUGGAUGAGUGGCGAACGGGUGAGUAACACGUGAGUAACCUGCCCCCUUCUUCUGGAUAACCGCAUGAAAGUGUGGCUAAUACGGGAUAUUCUGGGUCUGUCGCAUGAUGGGUCUGGGAAAGAUAUUGUUUCGGUGGGGGAUGGGCUCGCGGCCUAUCAGCUUGUUGGUGGGGUGAUGGCCUACCAAGGCGGUGACGGGUAGCCGGCCUGAGAGGGUGGACGGUCACACUGGGACUGAGACACGGACCAGACUCCUACGAGAGGCAGCAGUGGGGAAUAUUGCACAAUGGGCGCAAGCCUGAUGCAGCGACGCCGCGUGAGGGAUGGAGGCCUUCGGGUUGUGAACCUCUUUCGCCAGUGAAGCAGGCCUGCCUCGUUUGUGGGUGGGUUGACGGUAGCUGGAUAAGAAGCGCCGGCUAACUACGUG